UCCAUCCAAACAGUAGAUGUUUGGAGUGAUGGCUGUGGACACUUUGUGUCCCUGCCAGUAGCUGCCUAACACAACUAUGAGUUUAUGCACCAGCAGCUUUAAACAAUAGAGAGGUCUCUCAUGACCUCAGCUAAAUCUUUAACCUGAGAAGGGCAGAGCAGCUUUAAUUUGCACAAGCACCUGCAGAUUCAGAUGUUUAUUUCAGUUGUUUUGGUUUUUUUUAAAAAAAGCUGGGCCUGUCUUCUCUAGAUAUGAGUUUUUCUUGAGACAUUCUGCAUUUAAUUAUCAGCCGGGAUAGGAAGCUUGCAAGCACAGCUGUUACUGCAAUAUUUCAGUGCUUUGACUUUCAGGCCCAGACGGAGUGAGCUGUGCAAAAAGGAGGAAUCAAGACUAAAGCAAACUUUCUCAAACUUUCAAAGCAGCUGGAUGUGAGAGAGGCGGGGGCGGACGGAGAGCGCGCCGGGCCCAGCCGGGCCGGUGGGUCGCGGUGCCGCCCUGAGGUGACACCGCGCUGUGGCACCAGCGCCGACAGGAGCGGGCUGCUCCAAAUCCCUCUGCGGCGCCGGGCAGGGACUUGGCUCUGCCCUUACUCGCUCCAAUACCCGUAAUUCUCUUCCAGGAGUCCGCCACAGAUAAUGGCCUUGUUUGCAGAAGAAGGCAUUUGGCUGCUGAGGGUAAACAUGGGCUCCUGGGCUCGGCUGCUGAUCCCUCCCUCAGCCCCGGCUGCACCAAUGGCCUCGUCACAAGCCAGAGGAAGGAAUUAGUCUGGGGUGGAACCAAGGAAGGUUAACUCCACCUCUGAUGGCCUCCCCAGACCACAGAAAAGAUCUGAAUCCAGAUUUACAUGGCUCAUGCCCUAAUGCCUGGACCAUCUUUCCUUUCUGGAUGCAGGCAUCUCAGAGCCAGGCUCAUCUGCAGUGUCAGUGGCAAAGAAUCAAACACCAUGACAGCAAAGACAGCCUCAAACACUUUUCCCUCUCAUAAUUAAAUAGACUAUUUCCUCAGGAUAAUAUUUUAUUAAUAAAACUGUAACCCACCCCAUUAAUACCUACAUUUACUAGCAGCUUCCUGCCAGGGGCCCGUGCUGCCUGUCCCACUGUGUGGGACAUUGGCUGGCAAUGCUCAGCACCUGCCCCCAGUCAGUCCCACCAGUUCAGGUUUCCCAGUUAUCUUCAUGCUAAUGCUGAAUAAAGUCCAGGCCUCUAUUUCCUCGUCAGCUGGUUACAGAUAAGAGGAAAGGCAUCCUGUCUCUCUUUGGGGGACAAAGAAUCCAGCCCACAAGCUUAAAGGAGUGGAUUUCUAGGAAGGCAGGAUUUCAAACAGCUUUGUGGAGCUCUCCCCAUUGCCUGUGCAAGAAAAUAAUCUCUUUGGCUGGCUCAUCCCAUAUUAGCUUCCUGAUUCAUCCCCCCUAGUCUUGAGCCAGGGCCAUCCAUACUUCAUUAGUUCACUGAGCCUUGUUGCACCUGCCACAUAUAUGUUAUUAGGUCACUGCUGAUUAAAUAAUUCAGUCUCUCUGAAAAAUUACUGUCCUCAAAAAAGUGGGUUAUGUGCUGAGGCCAAUCCUGUUUGCCUCAAGGAAGAUCACUGCUCCCCUGCCUCUCCAGAGCACAGAAACAAGAACUCAGUUUCAUUAAAUAUCACUGGAGAAACACUCAGCUAAAUAAUUAUGAUCAGCUGCUGCCUAAACAUGAGAUACAUGCAGGCUAUAAAUCACAAGAAAAAACAGCAAGUAAUGUCUUCUAAUUUCUUUUUUAAGCUGGAUAUGGUGGUCAAUGCAGAUGGGACAGUAUCAUUUUAUCAGAGAAUCACACACUGGUUGAGCUUGGAAGGGAUCUCUGGAAAUCCCCUCAAGCAGGGCCACCUAGACCUGGCUGUCCAGACCCACGUCCAAAUGGCUUUUGAAUAUUAUCAAGAAGGGAAUCUCUACAAACCUCUCUGGGCAAUCUGUGUUAUCCUAAUAGUGAAAAGGGGUUUCUGAUGUUCAGAGAGAACCUCCCGUGCUUCAGUUUGUGCCCGUUGUCUCUAGUCCUGCCACUGGGCACCUAACAGUCCCAAACAUUCAGGCAGUCUCCUCUGAGAAGGUAAGCCUUGGUCCCAGGAGAAAGUACAGGACACACAGGUUUAGUCCUUUGCAAUGGGCUCUUGGAAGUCACAGUUACUGAGCCUCCCCUAGUGAAGGACCUUUAGGCCAUUACUCAUACACUGAAUGCAAUGCUUUAGGGUGGGAGCAGUGCUGUUGCAUGAGUUUUGACAGCUGAACUGCACUGCUGCCUAUUUGCUCUCUCCCAGUAUUGACUGCAUUUCUUAAAGCUCCAGCUGUUGGAAGCGAGGGAUUUAAAAAAGAGUAAGCUUAGCUUUAAUUCAGACAAAUCUGUGGUCAAGAAUUAAAAAGGGGCCUUGAGUAAAAAUUCAGGGGCCAGAAGUCACAUUAAGCAAACUUCCCAUUUAAUUUUUACAUGUCACUGUUUUUAAGCUCAUCUCAUGGUUCUGAAAUCUGGAUUCAUAGAUACCAUUCACUGAGGCUUGUCACACCUUGGUCAGCAUGACACAGGGAAAGCAAAAAUCAAACCUCUUUUAGAUAAAAUUGUUUUUCCUACUAAUUUCUUACACUCCUAAAGAACUUCUAGAAUUUAAUCUAGUUUUGCCACUUUGAUGUGUAUCGACUUUGCAAUGUAUUCCACCAAGACAAUGAAAAAAGACCAGUCUCUCUGAGUAGUGUGGCUACCCUUGACCUGCAGUCACUGCUUUAAACCUAAAGCACUUGCCCACAGCAAACUUACACAUACAGCAAACAAGUUCACGUCUCCCCUGUGUCACCCACUUCCCACUGCAGUAAAAGAUGCAUAAUAAAACAACUAUCAGAAAGUAACAGCUACAAACACAUACAUCUAGGUUGAGGAUUAGCAUACAUAACUUGUGCCCUUCUAACAGAUGAGGGGAUUAUAUGGUAUCCUGUUGUGUAGGCAGUGCAUAUAUCAACCUCAUUUCUUUUAGACAAAAGCUAAAUUUGAGGUCUGAAUUAUUACUUCUUCCCUAAUGAUAAAAGACAGCUGCAUAAGGCAAAAUGUGCAGUGAUGUCUGAGCUCAAAAAUGAGUGCAACUCUCAAAAGGCUUUGCAAAAUUCAAAGAGGAGCAAUAAAUACUCCUGUUUAAGGGAAGUAAAAAUUGAGACAUCCAUUACUUUUAUUAGAACUGAUUUUGUUAUCUCACUCCUCUCCUGCCUUUGAUCUCGCUUCUUCCUGAGACUGAGAAGAUGAGUCUGCUAAUGAGACACCUCAGGAUGUAAAAUUACCUGCAAGAUGGUCCUUCUCCUUGGGAGCUUCCCAAGCCCACGCUCAGAGUCACCACUGCCAAAAAUUCCAAAGCAACCUGUGAGCUUGGGAUUCACCUUCUCAGGAGAUGCACACAGCAAUGCUGUCACCCAAGAGAGUGGAAAGCAAAGAGCACAAAGUCAGAGGACAGUUUUUAUCCUUCUGAAGAGACACCUUUUAUUAGCACUGUUUUUCAGGAAGACACAGGCUUUCAGUCAGCUAAGGCCUGCCCCUCCAGCUCUUGCAGAAAUUUCAGUGCAGUUCUCUGAAAAAUGCAGUAACAGAAUGUACAUGCUAUGGGGUAGGGUGGCUCACACGUGCAUCUGAUGGUUUACAAAAAUAUUAUUACUUUAAAAUGAUGCUUCAGGUUUGAUGCAAACCCUGCAAAAAGAGUGAGAGACAGAGAUUCACACUGUCUCUUACAAACUUGUACAGUGUUAUUUACAAAUUUUCAAUUCAUUAGUAUGAUCCCACCAUUCCAGGAUGCCAGCUGAUGUUUGCAGGGCUGCCAGAUAAUAGGGAAAAAGAAAGUAAGAACAAUAAACUCCUGGGUGUCAUGAUGCUGUAUUUUACAGUCAUUGCUUUAGAAAUGAGAUGACAACAAACUGGCUUCAAUUUGGCUACCUUUCUACUACUAUUACAAAAAAGGAGAGAAGCAACAAAACCAACCACAGAUGAAGAAAUGUCUGGAAGAAGACAGGCUGAACAGAUGGGAAUUCCUCUGUCUAUGCUGGAGAAAAAUAACACAGGAGAAGAUUAAAAAAAUAUGUAUCAAAUAAUGAACUGAAAAAAGAAAAGUAAAGCAGAAACUUCUGUAAAUAUGUCUGUAUAGAACUUAUACUGCUGAGUGUGCAUUACAGGUAUUUCAGAUUAAGGCAGAAAUGACUGUGGUCAGAAGUGAAGCAAGGUUGGCCUAGAGCACACACCUCAGGUUCCAGGGAUGCCAAGGAAGUGCUCACUCAAAUUCUAUUUACUGAAUUGGUUUUGACAACUUUAGGGCUCUUCCUUUUUCCUCUAAACUAACACUUUUUAGCACUGCAUUAUGUCAGAGUGACAUCUUGAAUGAGAUGGGCCAACCUGGAGCUACAGCCCUGUGUGUCCCGUGCUAGUGUUGCUGUUAGUCUCAAAUACCAUUAUUUCUGUAACUUUUCCCAAAUUGUGUCAUGCACUCUCAGGUUUCUCUGCUCACUUGGAGCUGAGUGCAGGUUUCCACUGACCAUUUCAAUAUUCAGCUUGCAGAGUUGCAAGUCUACAAUAAGACCAUGUCCAUCCAGAUGAUGUGUCAUAGAGGCCCCUUGUUUCACCACCUGCAGCCAAAGGCACUUCCAGAGUCAGCUAAAUCAGAGCACAGCCAUAAACCCAACCAUACAUUUGUACAGGAGAACAAAGUCAAGAUGAGUCCCCCAGGCUAUGGGCUGAAAGCAGGACCAGCCAGUGAGCACCUGCGCUUUGCUCAGCCUUCCCAGUUUGUGUUAAACCAAGCAAGUGCCAAAUCUAGAAAACAAGGCAAUGAAUCAAACCAGACAGAAGAGUAAUGGAGUACAGCUGAGGAUCCAACUCAUUAAAAUAUGAAUUAGGUUAAGUUAGAUUUAUAACUAAGGUGGGGAAAAUUAAACUGCGUUUUUCUUCCUCAAAUUAGAGCUUACCUAUGGUGAUAAAAUUCAGAGCUGGAGGAUGAUGCUGCUGGCCUGCCUCCACCUCAGCCCCUGCAAUCCAGCACUAGCCCUGGAAUCUGCCACACUUGACCCAAACACCCACAACUGGUUUGCUCUCUCUGACAUUGCUCCAAGUGCACUUCCUGGCCAGCUCUAAUUGGAGCAUGACAAUCCUGUAGUAGCAGUUCCAAAGGCUGUACAAAUAAGUGCAUGUGUGUUACUAUUUUCUCUAAUAUGAGUGAUUGGGUGAGUGACAGGAGUAAAUAGUUUGUAGUGAAACAGGAAGGUCAGUUCCAAAUCAGAGCUCCUAAAAAUCCUGGGAUAUCAGAAGUCCUGGGAUGCUUGGAUCAAAGUUCCUGAGGAUUUUUGCAGCAACAAAUUUAAAAAGUGCAGCCCUGAAGAGGCAGCUUCUGAGUAAUACAACCACAUAUUUGGAGAGCAAUCAAAGCAACAUUUUUAUUUUUUCCCCCCCUAGGUGGUAUGGUACUACAUGCUGGAAACAUACCUUUCCCAAGGAGGGUUUUUUUAAUCCCAGGAGACAUUUUGACUGACAGCUUCACGUGACUGAUGAUUCUGGCAGCACUGCUUUCUUUACCAUCCAAACUGAGACACCCAAACCAGAGUGCUUUUUCUCUUGGAGGAGAAUGGUGCCCCCAGUAUGACCCACUGAGAGGGCCAAUUGCUUUUGGAAGUGCACACCUCCUUCACCCAAGGUGAUUACUCUGAAGGGAAAUUGCUCUAAGAACUCAUUAAUGAAACAGGAAGCCAUUAUUUCUGACCAAGUAUACAGUGUCCUUUACAAACAGCACGAGGCUGGAAAACAAAUCCAGGUGAGAUCAUGUGCUGGCCUUUUCCUCUCAGAUAAGAGUGUGAAAACUGCAGUAAACAAUGCGUGCUCUGUAUUGGUCUGCUCAACACUGGUAUCACUGCCUUAGCACAACCUAAACCUGUGACAGGCAGCACAAACUACUGAAUUCCUGAAGUGACCUUGGAAGGGAAUAACUCAUGUACCAAGUGGCAGCCCUGCUCCAAGCGUCCUGGCAGCGAGCAGUCCAGCAGAGCAUUUUUAAGCAUGUUAUCCUUUCAGGUGGGCAUGGAGCAAAGUGGCAGAGGCACACUGACUUCCCUGCCACCUCAGGAGCAUGAUUACUUUUCCAGGGUACUUUUCCAGAGCCGACAUACUGCCUCCUUCCUCCUUGCUGGGCUCUGGAUGCCGUUUGCUGUCACAGGGCUGACACGCUAUCCUGCUCUGCUCCUGCUCAUCUCUGGACGAGGGCAGUGAGGUCCUGCUGGAGGGCCUGUGGCAGUGAGGCAUUACCUGCACAUCUGCCAGCUGUUAUAGCCAUGUUUUACUGAAAACCACAGCACACUGAUGAGCUCCCUACAAGAAUCAAGGAUGGCAUGUAAAAAGAUAACAUUUCUUGUGGGACCAGCCUAGGAUAAGGAAGCAAUCUCCUCCUCUCCUUCCCAUCCUCUCCCCCUCCCUCCCACAAAAACCAGACUAGAUGCAAUAUAUAGCCUUAGUCUUGUCUAGCCCAUCACAUUUCUGAUGCAUAAAGCAUCUUCAAAAUGUCCUCAGGUAAGACAUUUUUCCUGUCUCAUGCAAUUUAAGUUAACAAUCAAUAAAUACAAACCAAUCCAGGAUUUAACUGGAAAUACUGAUUCAGCAUGUAGUAGGGGGACUAGUGGACUAACACAUCUGGAACAGAGCUGAUGCCACUCCUUCCAGAUGUGUGCCCAAAACAGUGGGCACUGAGGCAAUAUUGAGGAUAAGAGAGCCUGCUGCAAGUGGAGAUCACAUCCCCAGGGCCUCCUGCUCCAAGGUGCAUUUGAAGGGCACUGUAAAACAGGAGGAGAAACAAGACCAUGAGGUGAAGGAGCUCUGUUUUGGCUAUGGGUUAGAGAUACCUAGGGAUUCCAUUUAUUUGUUAAUUUUCCUUUAUUCUGCUUUACUGCAAAAUCCAUGUAAACAUCCCACAGAAGCAGGCACACUUGUAAAGCAGCAGUACCUUAAAAAACAGAUUAAAAAGGGCUUUUGAAGCUUCUCCUACUUCUUUUCUUUCCCACUUCAACUAAGAUCUUUUCUCUGGAGCAGGAAGAUGUAUUUUUAAUUUUUAAGAAAGAUCACUGGAACUAUGAAUUUAAAUAAGGAGAGCCAAUCUAGAUUUGCAUGAAGGCACCCCAGAGUACCAUCUAAUUGUAAAAACUAAGCAUGGAGGAGCCAUCUAAAUCCAUCCCACUGCUGAUGGAGAAUAGCUCCCCACAGGAUAUUUACACGUUUUUAACGCCUUGGCCUUGUGCCUCACGUGCACCAGAGACAUACUUUUAGGCCAAUAAAACAUCCCUUGUCAUGGCUUAAUGCUGGAAGAAUUAAUUUAUCACUCAUUAUUUCCUCUUUUAAAGCUCUGCUCUUUGGAUAGCUGUGACAUAAUUCUUAAAAAUCACACUAGUUAAAGAGCAGAAUAUGCUGUACCCUCUGGCUCCCUGCCCACAAAGGGCAGCUAUUCAAAUGGUUUCCUUUUCCCAGCUCAAUUUCAGCUCUCCCAGCUGACAAGGGGCCAAACCCACUGAUCACAGGGAUGAAGGGUGAACACCUGGAGUCCUCUCACAGGUCCUGCCUGGCCACCCUCAGACUAAGGAUCUCCUGGAGGCUGGGAAUGGUUUUGCCUUCACAGGGUGAAAGAGUGUCCCUCUUUGGGCUAAAUCGGGGAGUUAUUUGUGAAUUCUGACAAAGCAAGACCUGACAAAGCAAAGAUGAAGUUUUGACUUAACUGGAGCCUAAGGAAAUAUGAUUUCACUUUAAAUAAGUCUCUCUCUGUCUCUAUUGUGUACACACAAUUCCAAUGUAAGUGAUUUCAUCUUCCAAAGCUGAAGGUCAGCCAUUUCAACACGGUGUUUUUUCCACUGGGUGUCACAGUUUCUGGUCUCCUGGCAGAUCUGUACCAUCAACAUCCUAAAUAAACCACAAAAGCAAAGGCAAUUUGAACUCAUUGGACGCUUUUAUUUUAGUGUAGCACCCAGCUUCAUAUCACAUACAUUUUCCAAAAUUAGAUGGGCAUAGUAUAGAAUACUAUACAUUUUGCAGCUUACCAUGGGGACAGUCUGCAGCUGUGAAAACAAAUUACUUAAAUCUGGCUAUCUAAUUUAUAAGUUAAAAUUCAAAUAUAUAAUAGCCUUGGGGCAUUUUUUUUAGAUUAACAACCAUAAUGCUUGCAAUACAACUCCUUUGUAUCAAAAAAUCUGUAACAGAGUAAAACAUAAUGCAUAUGUUCAUAGCACAUAUCAAGAUAGCUGGAAAAAGCUCCAAAAUACAUAAUCUCUUUUCAAAGAUACUAAAUCACUAAGAUUUACUUUUUAUUCCUGAAAAAAAAUAUUUUACUCUUUAACCAAUAAAAUAUGUGGCUUUGUGAACCCAAGUGUUUUCUUGUCAAAGGCUGUGUAUGCUGGAGACUGAAAGGCUGAUGGUACUGGAAAAUGGACAUCCCUCAUACCCCAGCUAGCAACUUUUACAGAUCUCUGCCUCCUGAUUUGGAAGCUCAGCUGGGAGGAAAGAAACCACCCCCAACAGGCAAUUUUCACACAUGCCCAUCCUAAAUGCUUCCCAUGAAGGUUUUCAAAUCCCAGUCAUCCCUUUGUGGUCAUUUUACCAUGCACAGCCUCAUCACCCCAUGCUGGCUAGCCUUGGCAGCGUUGUAGAAUCAGACUGGUUUGCAUUGGAAGUGACCAUGAAGAUCAGCUAGUUCCAACCCCCGCUGCUGUGGACAGGGACACCUUUCACUGUUCAGGUUGCUCAAAGCUCCAUCCAACCUGCCCUGAACACUUCAAGGGGUGGGGCAGCCAUAAUUUCUCUGGCAACCUUUUGCAGUAUCUCACCACCUUCACAGUGGAAGAGUUUCUUCCUUAUAUCUAAUCCAAACCUGCCUUCUUUCAGUUUGAAGCCAUUCCCCCUUGUCCUAUCACUACAUGCUCGCAUAGAAAGUCCCUCUCCAGCUCUCUUGUAGCACCUUUAGGUACUGAAAGGUGCUAUAAGGUCUCCCCAGAGUCGUCUCUUCUCCAGGCUGAACAACCUGAACUCAGCCUGUCUUCACAGGAGAGGUGCUCUAGCCCUCUGAUCAUCCCUCCAGUUGGAACUGUCUGGAUGACAGCCAAAUUCUUCUCCCUGAUGUGGAUACAGAAUUUCCAACAGGAAAACUACUGCCAUGCAGACUGAAGACAAUAUUUUGACUUUAACAGGAUAUCCAACAAUUUACCAGUAACAAGGAGGCUGCCUUGACUAAACACACUUUUGUUACAUCACCAAAACUCUCUGGAAGAGCUAACUGAGGAAUUUCUGGAAAGAGUUGGUAAUGCUUCCACUGCAUCCUAGUAUAAUAUUAAUAACUAGAAGGACAUUGAUCCUUAAGGAUUAAUGUGUGUUCACAGGUAGUUUGUUUAAUAAAGGAAUGCCUCAGAAAUAGAAACUGUUUGCCUUGCUUAAUUACCAGGUCAUUAUUUAUUUUGAAAGGCUCAAAUAAAAGUGGCUUAUCUACAAAGGCAAUCAGUCACUACACUUAGCUGGGCAUUUUUCUUUUUUCACCACAGAAUUACCAUAGAUUGAAACAAAUAUAGGUAUCAGGUUUUAUGAAUGUUAACAGACCCAUAAAGAAAAGCAUGGACAAAUGGAAUACACCUGAGUGCACACUUACACACUUCCACACUGAGGAAGAUCUUUAUCUGCUCUGCCUAGUCC